rnacentral:rRNA from 1 species
AUUGAACGCUGGCGGCAGGCUUAACACAUGCAAGUCGAGCGGGGGAAGGUAGCUUGCUACCGGACCUAGCGGCGGACGGGUGAGUAAUGCUUAGGAAUCUGCCUAUUAGUGGGGGACAACAUCUCGAAAGGGAUGCUAAUACCGCAUACGUCCUACGGGAGAAAGCAGGGGAUCUUCGGACCUUGCGCUAAUAGAUGAGCCUAAGUCGGCUUAGCUAGUUGGUGGGGUAAAGGCCUACCAAGGCGACGAUCUGUAGCGGGUCUGAGAGGAUGAUCAGCCACACUGGGACUGGGGAACGGCCCAGACUCCUACGGGAGACAGCAGUGGGGAAUAUUGGAAAAUGGGGGGAACCCUGAUCCAGCCAUGCCGCGUGUGUGAAGAAGGCCUUAUGGUUGUAAAGCACUUUAAGCGAGGAGGAGGCUACUUUAGUUAAUACCUAGAGAUAGUGGACGUUACUCGCAGAAUAAGCACCGGCUAACUCUGUGCCAGCCGCCGCAGUAA